GGUCAAAAAAUAACACCGUCCGAUCCCUAGUCGGCAUAGUUUAUGGUUAAGACUACGACGGUAUCUGAUCGUCUUCGAUCCCCUAACUUUCGUUCCUGAUUAAUGAAAACAUCCUUGGCAAAUGCUUUCGCAGUAGUUAGUCUUCAAUAAAUCCAAGAAUUUCACCUCUGACAAUUGAAUACUGAUGCCCCCGACUGUCCCUAUUAAUCAUUACGGCGGUCCUAGAAACCAACAAAAUAGAACCACACGUCCUAUUCUAUUAUUCCAUGCUAAUGUAUUCGAGCAUAGGCCUGCCUGGAGCACUCUAAUUUUUUCACAGUAAAAGUCCUGUUUCCCCGCCACACCCAGUGAAGGGCAUGGGGUUCCACAGAGGGAAAGGCCCGGCCGGACCAGUACACGCGGUGAGGCGGACCGGCCAGCCAGGCCCAAGGUUCAACUACGAGCUUUUUAACCACAACAACUUUAAUAUACGCUAUUGGAGCUGGAAUUACCGCGGCUGCUGGCACCAGACUUGCCCUCCAAUUGUUCCUCGUUAAGGGAUUUAAAUUGUACUCAUUCCAAUUACAAGACCCAAAAGAGCCCUGUAUCAGUAUUUAUUGUCACUACCUCCCCGUGUCGGGAUUGGGUAAUUUGCGCGCCUGCUGCCUUCCUUGGAUGUAGUAGCCGUUUCUCAGGCUCCUUCUC
rnacentral:rRNA from 2 species